GGCCCGUACCCCUAGUAGGUAGAGGAAUCCUGAGCCUUUGGCUUGCCUCACUUUUAUUCACCCAAACAUGGGCACAAGGAAUCAAAGUAAUACAAGAUUCAUCUGGCUUUCAAUAUCCAUUAGUACAUUUUCUGGUAAACAACUUAACCUCAGCUGUCUCAACUUUUUCCUAGAAUGUGCAAGCCAUUUUAGGAACAGAGAAAUUCCUUCCUCUUUUCAUCCGGUCUACUGAUGGAAAGGGAUACAAGAAAAGAAAAAAGUAGAGGAAACAAAUAUUUAGCUUUAUUCAUUUGGGAUAUACUCACUGAGGAUUUUACAUGGCUCAUCAGUGAUGUCUGAUGUUCUCAGAUGGUUUUAUCAACAUUAAGAGUAAUGAUUGUCUGACACAGAAACUGGGACUUGGCAAGAUCAACAGAUCUGACAUUUGAAGAAGGUCAGCCUAACUUGAAAGUUACAAAUCUUAACGGAAAAGCUGAAUGAAGCCUUGAUGUUUCAGGUCUGGAAGCCUUGAAAAAUGUGUUUCUCCAUAUUCUCUGGCAUCUUUGUUGUCCCUUGAAGGAAGCAGAAGCUCAGCUAAUGUGGGAGGAGAAAUAAGUCUUAAAACUUGAAUAGAGAAACACAACAAGGAAGACAUCCUACAUGCUGAUGAUCCUUGGAUGAGGGACAGAGGAAUUGUUUUCCAGGACCAAGAAAGAGUUUCUGACAUAGACCCUAUAAAGAUUUUAUUGGAACUAGUGGGCAGGUCCCAUACAUCCUGCUGAAGAGUUGCCCUGGAGAAUAUAGUGAUUAAAAUGACUGACAAAGUAGAUUUAAG
ensembl:lncRNA